rnacentral:rRNA from 1 species
CCUACGGGAGGCAGCAGUGAGGAAUAUUGGUCAAUGGACGCAAGUCUGAACCAGCCAUGUCGCGUGAAGGAUGACUGCCCUAUGGGUUGUCAACUUCUUUUAUACGAGGGUAAACCGCGGUACGUGUACCUUUUUGCAUGUACCUUAUGCAUAAGGAUCGGCUAACUCCGUGCCAGCAGCCGCGGUAAUACGGAGGAUCCGAGCGUUAUCCGGAUUUAUUGGGUUUAAAGGGAGCGUAGGUGGUGUGUUAAGUGAGUUGUGAAAUGUUGCGGCUCAACCGUAAAAUUGCAGUUGAAACUGGUAGGCUAGAGUACAGUAGUGGUGGGCGGAAUUCGUGGUGUAGCGGUGAAAUGCUUAGACAUCACAAAGAACACCGAUUGCAAAGGCAGCUCACUGGACUGCAACUGACAUUGAGGCUCGAAAGUGUGGGGAGCAAACAGGAUUAGAUACCCUGGUAGUC